rnacentral:rRNA from 1 species
GAUGAACGCUGGCGGCGUGCCUAAUACAUGCCAGUCGAGCGAACGGACGAGAAGCUUGCUUCUCUGAUGUUAGCGGCGGACGGGUGAGUAACACGUGGAUAACCUACCUAUAAGACUGGGAUAACUUCGGGAAACCGGAGCUAAUACCGGAUAAUAUUUUGAACAGCAUGGUUCAAAAGUGAAAGACGGUCUUGCUGUCACUUAUAGAUGGAUCCGCGCUGCAUUAGCUAGUUGGUAAGGUAACGGCUUACCAAGGCAACGAUGCAUAGCCGACCUGAGAGGGUGAUCGGCCAAACUGGAACUGAGCCCCGGUCCAGACUCCUACGGGAGGCAGCAGUAGGGAAUCUUCCGCAAUGGGCGAAAUCCUGACGGAGCACCGCCGCGUGAGUGAUGAAGGUCUUCGGAUCGUAAAACUCUUUUAUUAGGGAAGAACAUAUGUGUAAGUAACUGUGCACAUCUUGACGGUACCUAAUCAGAAAGCCACGGCUAACUACGUG